rnacentral:rRNA from 1 species
GGCGAACGGGUGAGUAACACGUGGGUGAUCUGCCUUGCACUAUGGGAUAAGCUUGGGAAACUGGGUCUAAUACCGGAUAGGAACCGUCUUUAGUGUGGUGGUUGGAAAGUUUUUUCGGUGCAAGAUGAGCUCGCGGCCUAUCAGCUUGUUGGUGGGGUAAUGGCCUACCAAGGCGUCGACGGGUAGCCGGCCUGAGAGGGUGUACGGCCACAUUGGGACUGAGAUACGGCCCAG